rnacentral:rRNA from 1 species
UACGGAGGGUGCGAGCGUUGUCCGGAAUCAUUGGGCGGAAAGGGCGCGUAGGUGGCGGGACAAGCGUGCGGUGAAAGCCUGGGGCUCAACCCCGGGUCGGCCGUGCGAACUGUUUUGCUUGAGCACUGUAGAGGCGGGCGGAAUUCCGGGUGUAGCGGUGGAAUGCGUAGAGAUCCGGAAGAACACCGGUGGCGAAGGCGGCCUGCUGGGCAGUAGCUGACACUGAGGCGCGACAGCGUGGGGAGCAAACAGG